rnacentral:rRNA from 1 species
AGCGUGGAGACAGGUGGUGCAUGGCUGUCGUCAGCUCGUGUCGUGAGAUGUUGGGUCAAGUCCCGCAACGAGCGCAACCCUCACCCCUUGUUGCCAUCAGGUGAUGCUGGGCACUCUAGGGGAACUGCCCCGGUCAACGGGGAGGAAGGCGGGGAUGACGUCAAGUCAUCAUGCCCCUUACGUCCUGGGCUACACACGUGCUACAAUGGCCGGUACAAAGGGAUGCAACACCGCGAGGUAGAGCUAAACCCAAAAAGCCGGUCUAAGUUCAGAUUGGAGUCUGCAACUCGACUCCAUGAAGGAGGAAUCGCUAGUAAUCGCGUAUCAGCACGACGCGGUGAAUACGUUCCCGGGCCUUGUACACACCGCCCGUCACACCACGAAAGCCAGCUGUACUCGAAGUCGCUGAG